UGUGAGGAUGGCUAGGAUAUUUCAAACUGGCUCUGGGAGGGAUAAGAACUUUUUUUGUCUUGCACUUUACCAUGUAACUAACAGGUUCACCAUCAAUAAAAUGAAGGAACUUCUGAUUUCAGGAGGCUGUUGUGACCAGCAAAUGACUGAAUGCAGUGUUCAGCAUUCCAUCUCCCACAAAGCAGGUAUGGCUUGUUCAGCACCAGCUCUUGAAGAGCAGGAGGGGAAAUUUAAAACAUGCAGCAGAACGCAUCACCUGACUGGCUCUCCAG